GUGGAUGUCCUUUCUGUUUGUUAGUUUUCCUUCUAACAGAGAGGACCCUCAGCUGCAGGUCUGUUGGAAUACCCUGCCUUGUGAGGUGUCAGUGUGCCCCUGCUGGGGGGUGCCUCCCAGUUAGGCUGCCUGGGGGUCAGGGGUCAGGGACCCACUUGAGGAGGCAGUCUGCUGGUUCUCAGAUCUCCAGCUGCAUGCUGGGAGAACCAGUGCUCUCUUCAAAGCUGUCAGACAGGGACAUUUAAGUCUGCAGAGGUUACUGCUGUCUUUUUGUCUGUGCCCCGCCCCCAGAGGUGGAGCCUACAGAGGCAGGCAGGACUCCUUGAGCUGUGGUGGGCUCCACCCAGUUCGAGCUUCCAGGCUGCUUUGUUUACCUAAUCAAGCCUGGGCAAUGGCAGGCGCCCCUCCCCCAGCCUCGCUGCCGCCUUGCAGUUUGAUCUCAGACUGCUGUGCUAGCAAUCAGCGCGACUCUGUGGGCGUAGGACCCUCCAAGCCAGGUGCCGGAUAUAAUCUCGUCGUGCGCCGUUUUUUAAGCCCGUCGUAAAAGCGCAGUAUUCGGGUGGGAGUGACCCGAUUUUCCAGGUGCCGUCCGUCACCCCUUUCUUUGACUCAAAAAGGGAACUGGCUGACCCCUUGCGCUUCCCAAGUGAGGCAAUGCCUCGCCCUGCUUAGGCUCGCGCACGGUGCAGGCACCCACUGACCUGCGCCAACUGUCUGGCACUCCCUAGUGAGAUGAACCUGGUACCUCAGAUGGAAAUGCAGAAAUCACCUGUCUUCUGCGUCGCUCACGCUGGGAGCCGUAGACCGGAGCUGUUCCUAUUCGGCCAUCUUGGCUCCUCCACCCGGAUGAUUUUUCUUACUUUCUAUAGUCCUCAUUCUAUAACUUUUGAUCCAAAUUAUUCCAGAGAUUGGAUUAAAAACAAAUGGAUGUGGCAUACAGGGAGCAUCUCAAAUCAUUCAUUCUCACCAGCAGGUCUCAUGUGCUCCGAAACCAACUUGAAGCACUCUCCUUCUUCCUCUAGCAUGGUGACUGGAUUCCAAGGGAAACUGUAUCAAGAAAAACAGCACCAAAAAAAGUCAUGUCACCUUUCCUGACCAGUGAUGCAGCUUCCAUUCUACCACAUUCCAUUCAUCAAGAAUGUGAUGGUUGGAGCUGUUGUAGCUGUAUUACAACCAGGAGGAAAGACUUUGCUGACGUACUAAGGAUGGAAACUAAAAAAAGUUCUUUAGAUCAAGAGGAACUACUUGAAGAGCAGCACUCAACAAAUCUGCACAUCGACCUGGUUUAAAUGCUAAGAUCCUGCCCUUGUAGAUUCGAUGCCAUAAUGAUGAGACUUUCACAAGGUCAAGGGAGAAGAAUUUAGUGAUGGAUGUUGAAGAUCAUAAGAUAACAAGACUUGCCAAAAAGAAAAUCGUAGUGAAAUCUAA
rnacentral:lncRNA from 10 species